rnacentral:rRNA from 1 species
CAGAUGAUGCCUAUCAACUGUUUAAAAGUAUGGUUCUGCUAUCACUCUUGGGAUGGACCCUGCGGUGCAUUAGCUAGUUGGUAGGGGUAACGGGCCUACCAAGGCGAUGAUGCAUAGCCGAGUUGAGAGACUGAUCGGCCACAUUGGGACUGAGACACGGCCCAAAACUCCGUACGGGAGGCAGCAGUAGGGAAUCUUCCACAAUGGACGCAAGUCUGAUGGAGCAACGCCGCGUGAGUGAAGUAAGGGUUUCGGCUACGUAAAGCUCUGUUGUUGGUGAAGAAGGACAGGGGGUAGUAACUGACCUUUGUUUGACGGUAAUCAAUUAGAAAGUCACGGCUAACUACGUGCCAGCAGCCGCGGUAAAU